rnacentral:misc_RNA from 1 species
UUUCCGUAGGUGAACCUGCGGAAGGAUCAUUCAUAAUAAGUGUUUUAUGGCACUUUUCUAAAUCCAUAUCCACCUUGUGUGCAAUGUCAGGGUUGAUUUUUCUCUCGAGAGGAUCAGCCCCAAACAUCAACUAUAUCUCAUCUCUUGUCUGAAAAAUAUUAUGAAUAAAACAAUUCAAAAUACAACUUUCAACAACGGAUCUCUUGGCUCUC